UUCUAGGGUGGAGACUCAGAAAUGUCUCUGA
rnacentral:piRNA from 1 species